GUCGGGGAAGUGAGAGAACAAGUCGUCGUUGUUGCACAUAUCCUUUUCCCAAUCUCAAGUGAAACGAAAGCUUUCUCCACAGAUCUCCUAUUGAUCAUCUCCCUGCCUUCCUUGAAAUCCAAGUAGAAGAAGAAAGCAGUAUAGCAAAGAAAAGAAGGAGAGAUGUUGCCAACCUCGUCGAAAGUCCGUUCAUCGUCCUCCGCUUCUCGACCUAACUCCAUGCUCCCUCAGUACCUCCGGCGAAUUGUCAAGUGGCAACAAAUGGAUAUUGAAUAUACUUUCUGGCAAAUGCUUCAUCUUUGCACCUCACCAAAAGUCGUCUAUCAGCACACUAAGUAUCAUAAACAAACUAAGAAUCAAUGGGCACGCGAUGACCCAGCUUUUGUUGUAAUCUGCAGUCUACUUUUGGCAAUUUCCACUUUGGCUUAUUGUGCUGCGUAUGACCACAGUGCUGCACAUGCUGUUUUUGUAGUUAUCUCUGUGUUGAUUUUCCAUUUUUUAGUUAGUGGAGUUGUUUUGGCUACAUGUUGUUGGUUCCUAACUAAUGCAUACCUUAGAGAGGAGGCUCCAAAUAGUCAUGUGGUUGAGCAACGGGUUGAAUGGCUUUAUGCAUUUGAUGUGCACUGCAAUUCUUUCUUCCCAUUGUUUGUUAUGCUUUACGUUAUACAUUAUUUUCUAUCUCCUCUUUUGGUAGCCCAUG
rnacentral:misc_RNA from 1 species